rnacentral:lncRNA from 1 species
CAAACUGCACCAAUUACAAUGGAAGCUACAACUGUUCUUGUCUAAGUGGAUAUCAAGUGACCAAAGCAAACCAAUCCAUAAGUGUUGACAAUCAGUGCACAGGUAAAUGAAAACAUGAAUUAUUUAGGUGCCUAUCUCUAUGAAUUUUCCUUGACCAUUGUUUUCAAUACAACAUUGUUGACCUUAUGGUUUUAGAUGUGAAUGAAUGCCUCGAGACCCCAUCGGUCUGUGGUCCAAACUCAGUCUGCAACAACACCAUUGGAGACUACAACUGUACAUGCUGGAGUGGAUAUAAUGUCACUGAUCCAAGUUUGAAGAGUAGUGCUAACAAUACUUGUACAGAUAUAAACGAAUGUGUUGAGAUAUCAAACGUGUGUGGAUUCAACUCCAACUGCACCAAUUACAAUGGAAGCUACAACUGUUCCUGCCUGAGUGGAUAUCAAGUGACCAGAGCAAACCAAUCCAUAAGUCUUAGCAAUCAGUGCACAGGUAAAUGAAAAUAUAAAUGCUUUAGGUGUCUAUCUUUCAAAAUUUCACCAGACCUUUUUUCUCAGUACAAUAUUGUUGAACUCAUGGUUUUAGAUGUGAAUGAAUGCCUCGAGACCCCAUCAAUAUGUGGUCCAAACUCAGUCUGCAACAACACCAUUGGAGACUACAACUGUACAUGCUGGAGUGGAUAUAAUGUCACUGAUCCAAGUUUGAAGAGUAGUGCUAACAAUACUUGUACAGGUAAGGUUGUUUUUUCAAAGCAUUGAAAGCACCUUGGCACAUCGGAACACAUUUUUCUGCUUGAGUAAGCAUUUUUUUUUCACUGUACCCUUUUUCAGAUAUAAACGAAUGUGUUGAGAUAUCAAACGUGUGUGGAUUCAACUCCAACUGCACCAAUUACAAUGGAAGCUACAACUGUUCCUGCCUGAGUGGAUAUCAAGUGACGAGAGCAAACCAAUCCAUAAGUGUUAGCAAUCAGUGCACAGGUAAAUGAAAAUAUAAAUGCUUUAGGUGUCUAUCUUUCAAAAUUUCACCAGACCUUUUUUCUCAGUACAAUAUUGUUGAACUCAUUGUUUUAGAUGUGAAUGAAUGCCUUGAGACCCCAUCGGUCUGUGGUCCAAACUCAGUCUGCAACAACACCAUUGGAGACUACAACUGUACAUGCUGGAGUGGAUAUAAUGUCACUGAUCCAAGUUUGAAGAGUAGUGCUAACAAUACUUGUACAGGUAAGGUUGUUUUUACAAAGCAUUGAAAGCACCUUGGCACAACGAAACACAUUUUUCUGCUUGAGUAAGCUUCUUAUUUUCACUGUACCCUUUUUCAGAUACAAACGAAUGUGUUGAGAUAUCAAACGUGUGUGGAUUCAACUCCAACUGCACCAAUUACAAUGGAAGCUACAACUGUUCCUGCCUGAGUGGAUAUCAAGUGACCAGAGCAAAUCAAUCCAUAAGUCUUAGCAAUCAGUGCACAGGUAAAUUAAAAUAUAAAUGCUUUAGGUAUCUAUCUUUC